rnacentral:tRNA from 1 species
GCCUAGGUAGCUCAGUUGGUAGAGCACAUGACUGAAAAUCAUGGUGUCGGUGGUUCGACUCCGCCCCUAGGCACCA